UCUAUACCAAAAUGUUGCUUUUUACAGUAUUAAAGAAGUUGUAUCCAUAACAUUGUGUCUACCUUGUCAUUCGUCAACUUCUAAGUAAUGCCUAUCAAACAAUUGAUCACUGAUUAUUUUAAAGCAUUGCUAGGUAUUGCUCAGUCCCAUGAGUUGACUAGUGAAGGGCAUAUUGGGGCAGCAUGGAAGAGAUUCAACAGUACAAUGCAUAUUAUAUAUUUCUGUGAUAAUACAGCUUGUCAGUUUAACUUAUACACUGCUUUGCUUGUUGGCUUAUUUAGUAAGUUUUUCUGCUAAUACCUUAAGCAGUUGUGACCUUAAUUACUGAUUAUGGAAAAUGAUUUUUUGCAUGACACUCACCAUCUGAUGUUUUACAUAAGUUUCUCAUAAUUACUCCUUCUGUUUAUUUGGAGAUGAUAUUGCUGUUUGCUUAAGUCACGUUGGUCUGUUUCAUUAAUGCAUCUCAAGUUGAGACUAUUCUGAAAAUAUUCCUAUUUUCUGCUUGUCACUGGUUCCAUAGCCUGAAAUGGUUUGAUAACUGUACCGGUAUUUGUUACAUCCUCAUCCCACCCCAUUCUGUGGAAAUGUUGCUUACCAGGGCUGCUCAGUAGCUGUUGCUGAUGUUGUUAAUUUGGUGCUGCAAUUAGAGGUGUGAUGAAACAUGUCACAACAGCAUCUGUGGUGUUUCCUGGUACAACGUCAUACCAUGGUACAUAAAUGCAUGGUGGUGUCUUGUACAACAUUGUGCAACAUGGUACCAUGGUACAUGCAGGUGUAGCCUGGUACAACGUCGUACCAUGGUACAUAAAUGCAUGGUGGUGUCUUGUACAACAUGGUACCAUGGUACAUGCAGGUGUAGCCUGGUACAACGUCGUACCAUGGUACAUAAAUGCAUGGUGGUGUCUUGUACAACAUGGUACCAUGGUACAUGCAGGUGUAGCCUGGUACAACGUCGUACCAUGGUACAUAAAUGCAUGGUGGUGUCUUGUACAACAUUGUGCAACAUGGUACCAUGGUACAUGCAGGUGUAGCCUGGUACAACGUCGUACCAUGGUACAUAAAUGCAUGGUGGUGUCUUGUACAACAUUGUGCAACAUGGUACCAUGGUACAUGCAGGUGUAGCCUGGUACAACGUCAUACCAUGGUACAUAAAUGCAUGGUGGUGUCUUGUACAACAUGGUACCAUGGUACAUGCAGGUGUUGCCUGGUACAACAUUGUAUAACAGAACUUUUAUCUUUGAUAAUUUUGUUUUGGAUUUUAACUUCGAUUCAACCCCGAAAACUUUUCGUAAUUAUUUUUGUCUUGCCUCCUGUUAUUCAUUAUUAGCUUCUCAGAAAUCGGUAAAUCAUUAAAUCAAGUUGGUCAGAGCUGAUGUUGAAGAUUUCAAGGACAGUAAGGUUGGAACCAGAAGCAUAGUUAUAGAUUUUAACAAGCUAUUAUUAGGUUAUCAGCACAGCCUGCGGUGCCUUCUUCUGCAUGAUUUGUGGAUGUUCAUUGUGUCCAUCACAAUGUAGCCAUGUGAUGUAUCAUCCUUUUGUCAGCUUCAUCCCAAGAACUCAUUGACUAGAUGUAAUGUUUCAUUGCUAUUGAUCAGCGAUAAGGCCAGACCAAAAGUUUCUGUUAUGUAGAUGAAGCGAUCAUACAUUUUCAAGCCCAACAAUAAUAUUGUGGUCUGGUCUAAUUUUCAAAUAUAUGUUUCAUCAUUAUAACUCAAACGGCAUGACACUUGAUAUUUUCUAUCUUUGAAGACCCAAAUGGUGCAAUACAUUUUUUUUUGCCAGCCGUUGCUUUGAUCUAGCUCGUCCGAAAUCGGGUAGUAUUUUGUGUCCAUGAUUGUAGCUGAUUAAAGAUCAACAUGAGAUUAAUUAUUGCAACUUUCAACGAUCGUGAUUGCCAAUGUAAGCUGGAAAAUUUGAUGAUUACAUGGUGAAAGGAAGACCCACUAGAUAUACUUUCAGUUGGCUAAUUGUGCUCUCUAUUGCUAUGCAAGAAAUACAAUGAUGACAUUACGAUAACUUCAUGUUUUUGAUACUGCUUGAUCUUCUUAUACCACUCAAAAUAAGUUAAGGACCAGCUGGUUCUGUCAUAUUGCUAUAGUUAAUCUGUUAUGCCAUCACAGAUGAAGUAUAGUAAUAUGAAGGCGUUCGGUGGUCCUUACAUUCGAGUAGUAUAGAUUGCCCUGUUUCUACAAUUGACUGCUUCUGGCAAUGUUAAACGCUGCCUCUUUUUGUACAUAGUGUGUGUGAUAAAAUCUGAUGUUUAAGCCCAUUUUGACUUGGGUAAGGUAUAAAAACAUCCACAAAAACAAUGACAUUAGACAAGAGUUGUCUACCGGUACUUUCUGUCCUAAGAUAAACACUUCAGGAUGUUUGAAAGAGGAACCGUGACGUUAACGAACAUGCAUUUGGGGAAUGUUCUGGUAGGAUAUUUAAGGGUGUCAAACCAUAAUAAGAUACCUCUAAAAUAGGCGUGUUUUGGCUAUAUUGAAUAUUUACACAGGUUUUUUGAAAAUGUGGUAUUGUAUGCUCAGAAUGGUUAGAUAUCAGAUUUCUUCAUUUUUGUGAAGUGUCAUCGAUCUGUGAAGUAGAGAAUGUUUGAAAAUGAACUUCCAUCUUGGCAAGUCAUUUACGAUAGGGGAACAUUUUAAGGAAGCUUGUGAUAAUUCUGAAAACUUAAAUCUUGGUAGAUGCUUACAUUGUCUGGAAAGACCUGGAUCCCUACUGACAAUUUGAAAAUAUACAUUCGCAAAGUUGGAAUUUGAUUUUUCUCUAUUUCUUUGAAUAAAUAUGCAAACUGUUGCUAUGUACACUUUUCAGAGAAUGAUGUGAAAAGGUAGACGACAUAAUGAUCUAUGAGUUGUUGCUUUGAAUUUUCAGACUAUACCAAGUCACAAGUUCAAAGGAAAUGGGCACCUGUAAUUGUGACAGCCAAAUAUUGUGUUUUGAAAACUUGCCACAUGGUAACGAUAGGGGUGUUGAUGAUGUGAUACACAUUGCGAUGGGACAUAUCUAGCUACUUGACACUGAAAGUGAAUACAGGAAGCGUUCAAGGUGUAUUCAACUGGAUGUGGACAAGUUUAGGAUCUUUUCAAAGUGUAAGCAGCAUCUAAGGUCCCAUGACUGGCUGUGCAGAGUAAACUCCCUUUAAUACCAGGAUCAGCUGGUCUUGGGUUCAAAUCCCAGUUUACAAUAACCUGUUAUUCAGCAUGUCUGUGUAAGUUUCGCAAGGAGCAAUGGUCCAUAAUCCAUUUGAUCGUAAGGUCGAAGAGACCACUGGUGAACACUGAGGUAAUUUAUUUGGAGAUAUCAUUUAUGAUAACUGUUAGAACUAUCAAGGCUUACUGCACCACAGGAUUGUUUGUAUUAAGUUGGUGAAUGUACCACAGGAUAGUCCAGUAUGUAUCAAGUCAGUGACUGUACCACAGGAUAGUCCAGUAUGUAUCAAGUAAGCGACUACCACAGGAUAGUCAACUAUGUAUCAAGUCAGUGACUGUACCACAGGAUAGUCCAGUAUGUAUCAAGUCAGUGACUGUACCACAGGAUAGUCCAGUAUGUAUCAAGUAAGCGACUACCACAGGAUAGUCCAGUAUGUAUCAAGUAAGCGACUACCACAGGAUAGUCCAGUAUGUAUCAAGUAAGCGACUACCACAGGAUAGUUAAUUCUGUCAUAUCAGCGACUGUGUAUCACUGUAUCAUUACCCCCUAUCGUGGAUGCCGACAGAUGCGGAGCGUAGUUGUUGUUUUUCUGGUGACUGCGAGAGUGUGGCCGUACAUGUAUUUUUACAUGACUAUUACCUGUAUUGUUACAGCUGGAGUAGACUGUAGAUAUGCCAUCAUGUUUUAUGGAUCUGCAUUGGCCAAAGGUUUUGUAGAUUAUUGAAGUUAUUUAUGUUGAUUGUACAUACUGUAAGUAGUAGUGACUAUCGAGUUAUGAUAAAGAUAUACACAUAUACAUAUAUAUAUAUAUAUUAUGAUACAAGCGCAUAGCAUGAACUCCAUUCCUGUUGUUUGCAGCCUACAAUGUCAACGGUUGUCGCGCCCAAGUGUUGGCAGGGAUAACAACUGCAAUCACUGAUGUUCACAUAAUCGGUUUGAAUGAUAUGUCAUUGUCUCAUUGCAGAACUUUGUGUUCAAAGUUCAUCGUCAUAGCCAUUAAAACCAAAACCUCUCAAAAUGAA